CAGAUGUGUGGCGGAGGCGCGCGCUCUGUUCCCGGGCAGAGUGUCCAUGGAUCUCAUGUUUGCGAGGCCGCGUCAGACCGUGAAAGACUGGGAGGUGGAGUUGCAGCAGACACUAGAGGUAUGUGACCGGCACUUGUCACUGUAUCAGUUGACAUUAGAGAGGGGCACAGCACUGUUCAAUGCAGUCGCACAAAAACUGACGACCGUGCCAGAUGGUGACACUGCAGCAGAGAUGUACUGUGUGGCUGUGCAGAUGCUAGAAUCUCACGGUUAUUUGAGAUAUGAAGUGUCCAAUUUUGCCAAGCCUGGUGCAGAGAGUCUUCAUAACUUGUGGUGUUGGCAUGGAGGUCAAUACAUUGGCGUCGGACCUGGAGCCCACGGGAGAUUUGCUCCGCGAGCGGCGGAGAGCGCGCGCAGAGAGGCGAGGAUCCAGACUCUGGAGCCGAUCCCGUGGAUGCGGGAGGUGGAGCGGUGCGGCCACGCCACCCGCAAGAUCACGCCGCUGUCCGACCUCGACGUACUCGAAGAAAUGCUGGUGACAGGACUGAGAACAAGAACUGGCAUCAGUAACCAAGUAUGCAAUCACAGAUGGAUGAAUAGUAUAAAACGAUACCUGGUGUCGGCUGACGGGUGGAACAGGCUUGCUGGAGAUGUUCACAGCUGAAGAAGUUGUUGAGAGAAUUGUAGCAAGUGAUUUGUUACAUAUAGACAGCAGCUGCAUGCGUGCGACAACGAAGGGUCUGACAGUGGUCGAUUCUAUUGUUGUAGAACUCAUUAGCAUGCUUCAGUGCUACUGGCAGAAUAGA
rnacentral:misc_RNA from 1 species